CGCUCUGGUGGCCUAGUGGUUAGAACGUCUGCCUUGGAUGCGGAAGGUCGGGGAUUCGAACCCCUGCCGAGUCA